rnacentral:rRNA from 1 species
GAUGAACGCUGGCGGCGUGCCUAAUACAUGCAAGUCGAGCGAACGGACGAGAAGCUUGCUUCUCUGAUGUUAGCGGCGGACGGGUGAGUAACACGUGGAUAACCUACCUAUAAGGCUGGGAUAACUUCGGGAAACCGGAGCUAAUACCGGAUAAUAUUUUGAACCGCAUGGUUCAAAAGUGAAAGACGGUCUUGCUGUCACUUAUAGAUGGAUCCGCGCUGCAUUAGCUAGUUGGUAAGGUAACGGCUUACCAAGGCAACGAUGCAUAGCCGACCUGAGAGGGUGAUCGGCCACACUGGAACUGAGACACGGUCCAGACUCCUACGGGAGGCAGCAGUAGGGAAUCUUCCGCAAUGGGCGAAAGCCUGACGGAGCAACGCCGCGUGAGUGAUGAAGGUCUUCGGAUCGUAAAACUCUGUUAUUAGGGAAGAACAUAUGUGUAAGUAACUGUGCACAUCUUGACGGUACCUAAUCAGAAAGCCACGGCUAACUACGUGCCAGCAGCCGCGGUAAUACGUAAGUGGCAAGCGUUAUCCGGAAUUAUUGGGCGUAAAGCGCGCGUAGGCGGUUUUUUAAGUCUGAUGUGAAAGCCCACGGCUCAACCGUGGAGGGUCAUUGGAAACUGGAGAACUUGAGUGCAGAAGAGGAAAGUGGAAUUCCAUGUGUAGCGGUGAAAUGCGCAGAGAUAUGGAGGAACACCAGUGGCGAAGGCGACUUUCUGGUCUGUAACUGACGCUGAUGUGCGAAAGCGUGGGGAUCAAACAGGAUUAGAUACCCUGGUAGUCCACGCCGUAAACGAUGAGUGCUAAGUGUUAGGGGGUUUCCGCCCCUUAGUGCUGCAGCUAACGCAUUAAGCACUCCGCCUGGGGAGUACGACCGCAAGGUUGAAACUCAAAGGAAUUGACGGGGACCCGCACAAGCGGUGGAGCAUGUGGUUUAAUUCGAAGCAACGCGAAGAACCUUACCAAAUCUUGACAUCCCUUGACAACUCUAGAGAUAGAGCUUUCCCCUUCGGGGGACAAAGUGACAGGUGGUGCAUGGUUGUCGUCAGCUCGUGUCGUGAGAUGUUGGGUUAAGUCCCGCAACGAGCGCAACCCUUAAGCUUAGUUGCCAUCAUUAAGUUGGGCACUCUAAGUUGACUGCCGGUGACAAACCGGAGGAAGGUGGGGAUGACGUCAAAUCAUCAUGCCCCUUAUGAUUUGGGCUACACACGUGCUACAAUGGACAAUACAAAGGGCAGCGAAACCGCGAGGUCAAGCAAAUCCCAUAAAGUUGUUCUCAGUUCGGAUUGUAGUCUGCAACUCGACUACAUGAAGCUGGAAUCGCUAGUAAUCGUAGAUCAGCAUGCUACGGUGAAUACGUUCCCGGGUCU